AAUGUAUACUGUAUUCCCCGUAUUUGGACCCCACGAAUGUAGUUAAACGAGAAAACACACACACACGCACACACACAC